rnacentral:rRNA from 1 species
GACGAACGCUGGCGGCGUGCUUAACACAUGCAAGUCGAACGAUGAAGAAAAGAAUCGAAGCUUCGGCAGAAAUUCAUUUCGGAUUAGUGGCAGACGGGUGAGUAACGCGUGAGCAACCUACCUCUUACAAAGGGAUAGCCUCGGGAAACCGGGAUUAAUACCAUAUAACAUUGUGACGAAGCAUUUCGAUGCAAUCAAAGCUACGGCGGUAAGAGAUGGGCUCGCGUCCCAUUAACCGGAUGGUGAGGUAACGGCUCACCAUAGUGACGAUGGGUAACCGGCCUGAGAGGGUGAACGGUCACACUGGAACUGAGACACGGUCCAGUAUCGUACGGGAGGCAGCAGUGGGGAAUAUUGCACAAUGGAGGGAACUCUGAUGCAGCGGCGCCGCGUGAGUGAUGAAUGAAUUCGUUUCGUAAAACUCUGUUCUAUGGGAAGAAAAGGACUGUACCAUAGGAGAAAGCUCCGGCUAAAUACGUG